GAUGAACGCUGGCGGCGUGCUUAACACAUGCCAGUCGAACGGAAAGGCUCCUGCUUGCAUGGGUACUCGAGUGGCGAACGGGUGAGUAACACGUGGGUGAUCUUCCCUGCACUUCGGGAUAAGCCUGGGAAACUGGGUCUAAUACCGGAUAGGACCACAUUUUGGAUGGUGUGGUGGAAAGUUUUUCGGUGUGGGAGGAGCUCGGGGCCUAUCGGCUGGUUGGGGGGGUAAUGGCCUACCAAGGCUUCGACGGGUAGCCGGCCUGAGAGGGUGUACGGCCACAUUGGGACUGAGAUACGGCCCAGACUCCUACGGGAGGCAGCAGUGGGGAAUAUUGAACAAUGGGCGCAAGCCUGAUGCAGCGACGCCGCGUGGGGGAUGACGGCCUUCGGGUUGUAAACUCCUUUCGCUAGGGACGAAGCGCAAGUGACGGUACCUGGAGAAGAAGCACCGGCUAACUACGUG
rnacentral:rRNA from 1 species